UGGGGGAUAUUGCACAAUGGGCGAAAGCCUGAUGCAGCGACGCCGCGUGGGGGAUGAAGGCCUUCGGGUUGUAAACUUCUUUUGCUCUGAACAAGGCGCACCAUGGGGUGUGUUGAGUGUAGGGGUUGAUUAGCGCCGGCUAACUACGUGCCAGCAGCCGCGGUAAUACGUAGGGCGCGAGCGUUGUCCGGAAUUAUUGGGCGUAAAGGGCUUGUAGGUGGCUGGUUGCGUCUGUCGUGAAAGCUCAUGGCUUAACUGUGGGUUUGCGGUGGGUACGGGCUGGCUUGAGUGAAGUAGGGGAGGCUGGAAGUCCUGGUGUAGCGGUGGAAUGCGCAGAUAUCAGGAGGAAUACCGGUGGCGAAGGCGGGUCUCUGGGCUGUUACUGACACUGAGGAGCGAAAGCAUGGGGAGCGAACAGG
rnacentral:rRNA from 1 species